CGUUCCCAUAUGAUCACCAAAGUUAAGCAACAUUGAGCCUAUUCAGUACCUAGAUGGUGACCACUUGUGAAUACCAGGUGUGGUA